UACGAAAGGGGCUAGCGUUGUUCGGAAUUACUGGGCGUAAAGCGCACGUAGGCGGCCUUGUAAGUUGGGGGUGAAAUCCCCGGGCUCAACCCGGGAACUGCCUUCAAGACUGCAAAGCUCGAGGACGCGAGAGGUUAGCGGAAUUCCGAGUGUAGAGGUGAAAUUCGUAGAUAUUCGGAAGAACACCAGUGGCGAAGGCGGCUAACUGGCGCGUUUCUGACGCUGAGGUGCGAAAGCGUGGGGAGCAAACACG
rnacentral:rRNA from 1 species